ACUUAGAAACUAACGAUAAAUCGAUUACGAAAUAUGGAAAAAUCCAAUGAAUUUCAUAAGCUUGUUCUACCUAGGAAAACAUAUAUAAAAUUCCUAUACAUUUCAUCAUUCAAAAGUUAGUAUACAUGUUGGCGUGUCCGUUUCAAUUCUGUUUGGAGAACAUAAAUCAAGAAGAACGAUUGUUUGUGUUGAGCCAGUAAUUUUUGACCGGAAGAUUUUACCAGUUGAAUGGCAGCAAACAAAACUAAAAUACCAUCGCCGUGAUAAAAGCUAAACAUUUAUAAACGUAAAACACGGGACUUAAAAUGACGGCCAGCAGCGGAGAAAUACAGAUCCGGACUUCAGCUAGUAAGCACACGGUUCCAUUCUUUGCCAUGCAUAGGAAAAACAUCAAUCCACCAGAACAGCAGCGCCCGUCCAGCUGAAUCAGGAUUUAUGCACCAGCCAGGAUCAAUGCAUGGAACCGCAUCCUCAUCAAUAAGUGUUUGAAGUGCAGUGCAGUAUAACGUUUACAUUUUUGGAAGAUUUGUUGUAAUAAA